rnacentral:rRNA from 1 species
GACGAACGCUGGCGGCGUGCUUAACACAUGCAAGUCGAGCGGAAAGGCCCUUCGGGGUACUCGAGCGGCGAACGGGUGAGUAACACGUGAGUAACCUGCCCCAGACUUUGGGAUAACCCUAGGAAACGGGGGCUAAUACCGGAUACGACACAGCUUCGCAUGGGGUCUGUGUGGAAAGUUUUUCGGUUUGGGAUGGGCUCGCGGCCUAUCAGCUUGUUGGUGGGGUGAUGGCCUACCAAGGCGACGACGGGUAGCCGGCCUGAGAGGGCGACCGGCCACACUGGGACUGAGACACGGCCCAGACUCCUACGGGAGGCAGCAGUGGGGAAUAUUGCACAAUGGGCGGAAGCCUGAUGCAGCGACGCCGCGUGAGGGAUGACGGCCUUCGGGUUGUAAACCUCUUUCAGCAGGGACGAAGCGUAAGUGACGGUACCUGCAGAAGAAGCGCCGGCCAACUACGUG